rnacentral:rRNA from 1 species
UACAGAGGUGCCGAGCGUUUAGGCGGAAUCACUGGGCUUAAAGCGUGUGUAGGCGGACUUCUAAGUACCUUGUGAAAUCCCACGGCUCACCCGUGGAACUGCUGGGUAUACUGGUCGUCUUGAGCCACCUAGGGGCGAGCGGAACAAAUGGUGGAGCGGUGAAAUGCGUAGAUAUCAUUUGGAACGCCAACGGUGAAAACAGCCUCGCUGGGGGGUGUGCUGACGCUGAGACACGAAAGCCAGGGUAGCGAACGGG